AUGGAGGCUGCGACGGCCACCGCUUUUGUGGGUAGGAUCGCGCCGAAGCUCUUGGAGUUCUUAGCUGCAAAUCACAAGCUUCGACAGAACCUGGAGCACGACAUCACCUACAUCCAAAGAGAGUUUGCGUUAAUUUCUGCCGCCAUCCAGCAAGAUGAUGAGUGUCGCUGGAGGAGCGGCACCCUCGGCGACCAUGUGCAGAGGGCCUGGAUCCAAAUCAUACGUGACUUGGCGCAUGCCAUCGAGGACUGCAUCGACCGCUUCAUGCACCGGGUGACCAUCUCUGGGACGUCGACGUGGAUCCGUCAGGCUGUCUACCGGGUGCAGACGGUGACAGUACGGAAGGAGUUUGCCAAGGCGAUCCGUGAGCUCAAGAAAAUAUCACAAGAGUCAUCCAAGCUGAGAGAAACUUAUUACAACGCCAGUAUCGGUGCAGGCACCUUCCCGUCAGCAUCGUCGUCGGCAGUGGCAUCGGCACCUGAGACAACAACAGAGAUGGCCAUAGACGACACCGUUUCAGCUCGCAGCCCCGUGGGUAUGGACGCUCCCCGGGAUGAACUUCUGGAGCUGAUACAGCAGCAGCAGCAACAGCUUAAGGUGAUCUCUGUUGUUGGCUUUGAUGGCAUAGGCAAGACCCUCCUUGUCAGGCAUGUGUACCAGAGUAUGAUGAGCCAGUAUGAAGUAAGGGCUUGGGUUUGUGCAGCCAAUCAAAGGGGUGCAAGCGAUGUUGUCGAAGAGAUUCUUCGGCAACUUGGCAUCCCCACCACAUCCACCAAUGGUGGAGGUAACCUCAGCAAGUUCUGCCGAAUCCUCAGAUUGUGCCUUCAAACCAAGAGGUUCUUCAUCGUACUCGAUGACAUGAGGACAGAAUUUUGGCAUGAUAUUAAAGAUGCCUUUGUGGGGUUGAACGGCAGAGUUCUGGUGACAACGGCUAUUCAGUCAGUAGCAAAUGCCUGCAGCAGCUCAGCAGCCCAUGAUCAUGUGUAUGCAAUGAAAAGCCUUCCUGAUGGACACUCGAGGCAGUUGUUUUUCAAGGAAGCUUUCCAAGACGAUGAUCCGCCAAUCGGUAAAGAGGAUCAGCUUGGCUCGGAAGCACUGAAGAAGUGUGAUGGUUUACCCCUUGCUCUUGUUACUACAGCCCGGUACUUGCAAAGCACAGGUAAUCCGACGCGUGAAAACUGGGCAACAUUGUGCCACAACCUGGGAGCACACCUGGAAACGAAGGAGAUGUUAGCAAGAAUGAAGCGUGUACUUGUCCAAAGCUACACCAGCCUUGUUAAACACGAUGUCAAGACAUGCUUGCUAUGUCUAGGUAUCUACCCUAGUGGCCGUACAGUCAGGAGAGGAAGCUUGAUAAGGAAAUGGUGCGCUGAAGGGUUUAUCCCAGGAGAUUAUAUGUGUAAUGCUCUGGAUGCUGCUAUCGGCAAUUUCAAAGAGCUGCUCAACCGGAGCAUCAUCCAGCGUACAGAUGCCAGUAGCAAAAACAUCACAGAUCAGGUGAAGACAUACCAUACUCACGGCAUGAUGCUCGAGUUCAUCCUGCACAUGUCCAAGUGUGACAACUUCAUUACCUUGUUAUAUGAUCAGCUGGCCCCCCCACCCCCACCCAGUAAAAUCCGUUGGCUCUCCCUCCAUGAAGCAAGUGCCAGAGUGGCUAAUGAUCUAUCUCUUGUCCGAUCUCUGACAAUCUUCGGCAGGGCACAUGACUCUGUCUUGGAUUUCUCCAAAUAUGAACUGCUGCGGGUUUUGGAUCUAGAAGAAUGCGGUAACCACUUGGAGGACAAGCAUCUUAGGGAGAUAUGCAGCAACCUGUUAUUGCUCAGGUACCUAAGCCUUGGGGCCGCUAUUAAGGUUACGAUGCUCCCCAAAGAGAUUAAGAAGCUUCAACUUUUGGAGACGCUGGAUCUCCAACAAGGUGUAGGAGGCCGGAGAAUGCACAAGCUACAGACUUGGCUCUCAGAGAAUAGCAAAUUGGAAACAGUAGCAGGAUUUGUUGUGGACAACAACAAGAGCCAAGGAUUUGCACAGCUCAUAGAGCAUAUGAAACACUUGACAAAAGUGAAAAUAUGGUGUCAGCAGUCCAGUAAUAAUAGUAAGGAUCCCCUUGCCAGUGGCGGCGGCAGCAGCAGCAACAACAACAACAACUGCACUCAUCUCUCCGAAAAAGGGCCAUCAAGGGGUUCAUCAAGAGAAGCACCGACGUGA
rnacentral:rRNA from 1 species